rnacentral:rRNA from 1 species
UACAGAGGGGGCAAGCGUUAUUCGGAAUUAUUGGGCGUAAAGGGCGCGUAGGCGGCCUGGCAAGUGGAAGGUGAAAUCCCUCGGCUUAACCGAGGAACUGCCCUCCAAACUGCUUGGCUUGAGUCCGGGAGAGGUGAGUGGAAUUCCCAGUGUAGCGGUGAAAUGCGUAGAUAUUGGGAGGAACACCAGUGGCGAAAGGCGGCUCACUGGACCGGAACUGACGCUGAGGCGCGAAAGCGUGGGGAGCAAACGGG